rnacentral:rRNA from 1 species
GAGGAAUAUUGCGCAAUGGAGGCAACUCUGACGCAGCCAUGCCGCGUGCAGGAAGAAGGCGCUACGCGUUGUAAACUGCUUUUAUCCGGGAAGAAACCCCAGGACGUGUCCUGGGUUGACGGUACCGGAGGAAUAAGCACCGGCUAACUUCGUGCCAGCAGCCGCGGUAAUACGAAGGGUGCAAGCGUUAUCCGGAUUCAUUGGGUUUAAAGGGUGCGUAGGUGGGGCGAUAAGUCAGCGGUGAAAUCCUGCAGCUCAACUGCAGAAUUGCCGUUGAUACUGUCGCUCUUGAGUACGCUUGACGUGGGCGGAAUGUGCCGUGUAGCGGUGAAAUGCUUAGAUAUGGCACAGAACACCGAUAGUGAAGACAGCUCACGAAGGCGAAACUGACACUGAGGCACGAAAGCGUGGGGAUCGAAC